GAUGAACGCUGGCGGCGUGCCUAAUACAUGCAAGUCGAGCGAACAGACGAGGAGCUUGCUCCUCUGACGUUAGCGGCGGACGGGUGAGUAACACGUGGAUAACCUACCUAUAAGACUGGGAUAACUUCGGGAAACCGGAGCUAAUACCGGAUAAUAUAUUGAACCGCAUGGUUCAAUAGUGAAAGACGGUUUUGCUGUCACUUAUAGAUGGAUCCGCGCCGCAUUAGCUAGUUGGUAAGGUAACGGCUUACCAAGGCAACGAUGCGUAGCCGACCUGAGAGGGGGAUCGGCCACACUGGAACUGAGACACGGUCCAGACUCCUACGGGAGGCAGCAGUGGGGAAUCUUCCGCAAUGGGCGAAAGCCUGACUGAGCAACGCCGCGUGAGUGAUGAAGGUCUUCGGAUCGUAAAACUCUGUUAUUAGGGAAGAACAAAUGUGUAAGUAACUAUGCACGUCUUGACGGUACCUAAUCAGAAAGCCACGGCUAACUACGUG
rnacentral:rRNA from 1 species